rnacentral:rRNA from 1 species
GACGAACGCUGGCGGCGUGCCUAAUACAUGCAAGUCGAGCGAAUUGAAGGGAGCUUGCUCCCUGAUAUUAGCGGCGGACGGGUGAGUAACACGUGGGCAACCUGCCCUGCAGAUGGGGAUAACUCCGGGAAACCGGGGCUAAUACCGAAUAAUCAGUUGAACCGCAUGGUUCAACUCUGAAAGACGGCAUCUCGCUGUCACUGCAGGAUGGGCCCGCGGCGCAUUAGCUAGUUGGUGGGAUAACGGCCUACCAAGGCGACGAUGCGUAGCCGACCUGAGAGGGUGAUCGGCCACACUGGGACUGAGACACGGCCCAGACUCCUACGGGAGGCAGCAGUAGGGAAUCUUCCACAAUGGACGAAAGUCUGAUGGAGCAAUGCCGCGUGAGUGAAGAAGGUUUUCGGAUCGUAAAACUCUGUUGUGAGGGAAGAACAAGUACGGGAGUAACUGUCCGUACCUUGACGGUACCUCAUUAGAAAGCCACGGCUAACUACGUGC